UACAGAGGGUGCAAGCGUUGUUCGGAAUUACUGGGCGUAAAGCGCGUGUAGGCGGCGGCGUUAGUCGGAUGUGAAAUCCCUCAGCUCAACUGAGGAAGUGCAUUCGAUACUGCGUCGCUUGAAUGUCGGAGGGGAUGGCGGAAUUCCCGGUGUAGAGGUGAAAUUCGUAGAUAUCGGGAGGAACACCUGUGGCGAAGGCGGCCAUCUGGACGACGAUUGACGCUGAGACGGCGAAAGCGUGGGUAGCAAACAGG
rnacentral:rRNA from 1 species